rnacentral:rRNA from 1 species
CACUCUCGUUAGAUUGAAGAAGCUUGCUUCUGAUUGAUAACAUUUGAGUGAGUGGCGGACGGGUGAGUAACACGUGGGUAACCUGCCCUAAAGUGGGGGAUAACAUUUGGAAACAGAUGCUAAUACCGCAUAAAACCUAGCACCGCAUGGUGCAAGGUUGAAAGAUGGUUUCGGCUAUCACUUUAGGAUGGACCCGCGGUGCAUUAGUUAGUUGGUGAGGUAAAGGCUCACCAAGACCGUGAUGCAUAGCCGACCUGAGAGGGUAAUCGGCCACACUGGGACUGAGACACGGCCCAGACUCCUACGGGAGGCAGCAGUAGGGAAUCUUCCACAAUGGACGAAAGUCUGAUGGAGCAACGCCGCGUGAGUGAAGAAGGUUUUCGGAUCGUAAAACUCUGUUGUUGGAGAAGAACGUAUUUGAUAGUAACUGAUCAGGUAGUGACGGUAUCCAACCAGAAAGCCACGGCUAACUACGUGCCAGCAGCCGCGGUAAUACGUAGGUGGCAAGCGUUGUCCGGAUUUAUUGGGCGUAAAGCGAGCGCAGGCGGUUUCUUAAGUCUGAUGUGAAAGCCUUCGGCUCAACCGAAGAAGUGCAUCGGAAACUGGGAAACUUGAGUGCAGAAGAGGACAGUGGAACUCCAUGUGUAGCGGUGAAAUGCGUAGAUAUAUGGAAGAACACCAGUGGCGAAGGCGGCUGUCUGGUCUGUAACUGACGCUGAGGCUCGAAAGCAUGGGUAGCAAACAGGAUUAGAUACCCUGGUAGUCCAUGCCGUAAACGAUGAGUGCUAGGUGUUGGAGGGUUUCCGCCCUUCAGUGCCGCAGCUAACGCAUUAAGCACUCCGCCUGGGGAGUACGACCGCAAGGUUGAAACUCAAAGGAAUUGACGGGGGCCCGCACAAGCGGUGGAGCAUGUGGUUUAAUUCGAAGCAACGCGAAGAACCUUACCAGGUCUUGACAUCCUUUGACCACUCUAGAGAUAGAGCUUUCCCUUCGGGGACAAAGUGACAGGUGGUGCAUGGUUGUCGUCAGCUCGUGUCGUGAGAUGUUGGGUUAAGUCCCGCAACGAGCGCAACCCUUAUUACUAGUUGCCAGCAUUUAGUUGGGCACUCUAGUGAGACUGCCGGUGACAAACCGGAGGAAGGUGGGGACGACGUCAAAUCAUCAUGCCCCUUAUGACCUGGGCUACACACGUGCUACAAUGGAUGGUACAACGAGUCGCGAGACCGCGAGGUUUAGCUAAUCUCUUAAAACCAUUCUCAGUUCGGAUUGUAGGCUGCAACUCGCCUACAUGAAGCCGGAAUCGCUAGUAAUCGCGGAUCAGCAUGCCGCGGUGAAUACGUUCCCGGGCCUUGUACACACCGCCCGUCACACCAUGAGAGUUU